UACGUAGGGUGCGAGCGUUGUCCGGAAUUAUUGGGCGUAAAGGGCUCGUAGGCGGUUUGUCGCGUCGGGAGUGAAAACCCAGGGCUUAACCCUGGGCUGGCUUCCGAUACGGGCAGACUAGAGUGCGGUAGGGGAGACUGGAAUUCCUGGUGUAGCGGUGAAAUGCGCAGAUAUCAGGAGGAACACCGGUGGCGAAGGCGGGUCUCUGGGCCGUAACUGACGCUGAGGAGCGAAAGCGUGGGGAGCGAACAGG
rnacentral:rRNA from 1 species